CGUGCGAAGGUAGCGUGAUCACUCGUCUUUUAAAUAGAGACCCGUAUGAAUGGUAAAACGAGGGCUUAGCUGUCUCCUUUUUCAUGUCAAUGAAAUUGAUCUUCCCGUGCAAAAGCGGGAAUUAUCUCAUAAGACGAGAAGACCCUGUGAAGCUUUAGACAAUAAGAUAGAUCUGGUUAAUAAACCCUAGUAAAGGAUUAAGCUUCUAACUCCUGUCUUAGCGUCUUCGGUUGGGGCGACCACGGGGAGUCACAUAACCCCCGCGUGGACUGGGUGCAAGAGUGUUUUUGUUCCUAAAGCUAAGAGCCUCCGUUCUAAUAAACAGAAUUUCUGACCUUACAAGAUCCGGCAAUGCCGAUCAACGAACCAAGUUACUCCAGGGAUAACAGCGCCAUCCUCUUUCAGAGCCCUUAUCGACAAGGGGGUUUACGACCUCGAUGUUGGAUCAGGACAUCCUAAUGGUGCAGCCGCUAUUAAGG
rnacentral:rRNA from 1 species